AUUGAACGCUGGCGGCAGGCCUAACACAUGCAAGUCGAGCGAGCGGCGGACGGGUGAGUAAUGUGUGGGGAUCUGGCUGAGGGAGGGGGAACACUACUUGAAACGGUAGCUAAUACCGCAUACCAUCAGAUGAACCAAUAUGGGAUUAGCUUGUCGGUGAGGUAACGGCUCACUUGGGCGACGAUCCCUAGCUGGUCUGAGAAGCUGAACAGCCACCCUGGACCUGAGACACGGCCCAGAUCCCUACGGGAGGCAGCAGUGGGGAAUAUUGCACAAUGGGCGCAAGCCUGAUGCAGCCAUGCCGCGUGUCUGAAGAAGGCCUUCGGGGUGUAAAGUACUUUCAGUCGGGAGGCGUUACCGACAGAAGAAGCACCGGCUAACUCCGUGCCAGCAGCCGCGGUAAUUC
rnacentral:rRNA from 1 species